UUCUCUUCCAGAACUCAAUCUCUUCGCCUCCACUUUUCAGAGCUUCAUCUCUUCGCCUCCCAUUCGUAUCUCUUAAGCUUCCCUGUUUUAAUUAUGCCAUAAUUACUACUUCUGAUCUCUUAGAUUUUCGUCUUCGUCGCCGUCUUCAACCUCUUAACGAUCGGACCAACCACUUUCAGCGUUUUCCAAGUAUUCUAUUGACUACAGCUGAAACCGAUCUCCGCCAAAGUAAAAUUAGUGUCUCUCUUAAGCUAUGAAGAUUUGGGUCUUGAAGGAAUCAAACAAAGAGUUGAGUUUUUUUUUUUUUCAACUUUCGAUUCCUUAUUAUGUCAUCAUGAUUAGACUUAGCUAAGAUUUGUGCUUGAUCCGUAUUCCUACAAUGUUACCAUGACUGAAAACCUGGCGGCUGAGAAUGAAAGGAUGAAUGAUGUCGCAAAGAUCAAAGUUGUUAACAGAUGCCUAAGUAACUUUUAAAAAAAGUACUCAGCAAAAAACGAGGAAGACGUUGUUGACACAAAUUCCAAUUGCUUAACAGUUCAUGAAACCAAACUUAAGCUCAGUCUCUCAUGUUUUGGGUUGAGUUGACUAGCCUAUGUUGAAAAGCAUGAACCUGUGUUUGAUGCUGUGCUAAAUGAGGAAGUAUCAAAUGGUGAGGUGGCUGAUAUAUGAAAGACAUGAUCAACACUUAUCUGGAGUUUAUCGUGAGGCAGUGGAUCCCCUAAAUUUUCAGCGCAUUAAUGCCACUUGCUUGGCAUAUAGGCAGACAGGUAGUUGUAAAACCUAAACUAUGAAGGCUUUGCCUCUUUAAGUCUUCAAGGGAUUUCCUAAGUUCGGUGCACAAUGCAUACAAACCCAAUUGUUUGGUAUAAACCAUAUCGGUUCUUCUCCGGUAUGCGACUUAUCCUACAAAGCUGUGUUACCCGAAAUCCGAAAUGCGCAAGAGCGAUUUAACGUGUACCGCGUGGAUUAUAGUGGUCUUCUUCUGCUGGAAGUUCAGACACUAUGCCAACUGAGUAAAGAAAGAACUAAAGAAAGGUAUCAGAAGAGCAAGGAGUGCCAGAAAGUCAUUAUUUUGCUUCAGUUAAGAGUUCCAUACAAAUAAUAGUUUAGGAUCUUUUCUGGUUCCCUUUAUUCUCUAAAAACCCACUGCACAUGUACAUGUAGAAAAGGCAACUCCACAAAUGGUUACUCUAUCAAAUAUUGUAAUACUUUAACUCUCACAAACCUAUUAACGAUGAUUCUUAUAGAUAGAUCCAUUUUUAUUGGCCU